UCGUGACCUCGUGAUCCGCCUGCCUCAGCCACCCGAAGUGCUGGGAUCACAGGCGUUAGUCAUCGCACCUGGUCAAAACUAUUCCUUCAACUUUCCCCCAAACACAGGGGCCUAUUUCUGACUUAAAAAAAAUUUUUUUUCAGGGAUCAACCAAGCUAGGCCGUUUUGCCUUUCAUACAAUUUCCUGAAAUUCCAGUGAAUAACUUUUUUUUUUUCUCAUCUUCUGGUAUCUUGUGAUGGUCCCAAUGCAGGUGAUCUGUCCAGGGGAUAGAUGAGGAAAAGACAAGAAAUGAUGCCCAACUGUGGCCUCCAGACUGACCCCUCCUGACACUGCGUACUCGGUAGACACAAGCAAAGAGGCAACUAAGAAAUUAGAAGAUUGUAUAAGAAGCUGCAUAGAAUCACAAUGACUGUGUUGUCCUGAAACCAACCCAGGGGGAGCAUGAACCAUUGAAGUACCACCGUACCUGACCAAGGAGACGCAGAUGAGGAAUUACAAAGGAAAGGUGUGGCUGCAUCAGAGAAGCCUGCUCAAUUUUUUGCAUAAAAUGAAUGAUUAAUUCAGCACCUGCCGAGACACUGGACUUAUAAUCAUUUUCUUUCUAAGGCGGUUUUACAAAUAAAUGGUCAGUUAAGAAACUGGGAAAUAUUCAUUAUAAUAUAGUGAAGAAGUUGGUCCAGAAAUUAGAGAUCUGGCUUCUCCUCUCUAUUUUGUCUUUAGCUAAAGAUAGGCAAAACUUUUUCACUCUCUGAACUCCAAUGUUCUCAUCUUAAAUAAAGGUUUUGGGACAAAACUGUCUUAAAUUUCUAACCUAAAAAUUCUCUUGCCUUGUGAAGGGUGUAACAUUUGGGUUUUUAUUUGACUUACUUUAGCCACACAUUCUUGCAGCUUUCAUUUCAUGGUCUGAAAAAGCGGAGCGCUUCUAAGCAAGUAUUUAGAAGAUAGAAUAUUUCUGGUGUAAAACAUGGCCAAUAAAACUUAAGUGUAAUCAAAUUCUCCAUAUAUUUUCAUGUUCAACUUGUCUUCUCGAGCUAACUCACCACAGAUCACUCUUUACGAAGAUAUUUAUCAAUUAAUCAUAUACCUCCUGAAUUCUCCGUAAGUAUGAUGCAUGGUAUGUGUCUUAUGAAUUAUUUUCUCUAACCCAGUAGGGAAGCAUGGUAGUGUAGUGUGUGGACUAGGUUCAAAUCUCAGCUCUGGCACUCACUAGCUGUCUUAUCAUGACAAUGGAUUUUAUUGACUCUAAAUCCCAAUUUCUUCAUCCAAUAAAGGAUGAUGAUGAUAUUUGCAUGAUGUAGUAGCCUUUGCAAGGAUUGCAAACAUUAAUGCAGAGCAGGAGAACGUGCACAUGACUGAGCUCCCAUUAUAUUCCUGGCACUUACAGGUCCAUAGUAGGUGCUCAGUCAGCACAGGUCCUUCACCUUCUGCUACACGA